rnacentral:rRNA from 1 species
GAGUUUGAUCCUGGCUCAGAAUCAACGCUGGCGGCGUGCCUAACACAUGCAAGUCGAACGAGAAAGUGGAGCAAUCCAUGAGUAAAGUGGCGACCGGGUGAGUAACACGUGACUAACCUACCCUUGAGUGGGGGAUAACCUCGGGAAACCGGGGCUAAUACCGCAUAACAUCUUUGGAUCGGAAGAACUGGAGAUCAAAGGAGCAAUUCGCUUAAGGAGGGGGUCGCGGCUGAUUAGCUAGUUGGCGGGGUAAUGGCCCACCAAGGCUUUGAUCGGUAGCCGGCCUGAGAGGGCGCACGGCCACACUGGAACUGAAACACGGUCCAGACUCCUACGGGAGGCAGCAGUGGGGAAUUUUGCGCAAUGGGGGAAACCCUGACGCAGCAACGCCGCGUGGAGGAUGAAGUCCCUUGGGACGUAAACUCCUUUCGACCGGGACGAUAAUGACGGUACCGGUGGAAGAAGCCCCGGCUAACUUCGUGCCAGCAGCCGCGGUAAUACGAGGGGGGCAAGCGUUGUUCGGAAUUAUUGGGCGUAAAGGGCGCGUAGGCGGUGCGGUAAGUCACCUGUGAAACCUCUGGGCUUAACCCAGAGCCUGCAGGCGAAACUGCCGUGCUUGAGGGUGGGAGAGGUGCGUGGAAUUCCCGG